rnacentral:rRNA from 1 species
GACGAACGCUGGCGGCGUGCCUAAUACAUGCAAGUAGAACGCACAGUUUAUACCGUAGCUUGCUACACCAUAGACUGUGAGUUGCGAACGGGUGAGUAACGCGUAGGUAACCUGCCUGGUAGCGGGGGAUAACUAUUGGAAACGAUAGCUAAUACCGCAUAAUAUUGAUUAUUGCAUGAUAAUUGAUUGAAAGAUGCUAUUGCAUCACUACCAGAUGGACCUGCGUUGUAUUAGCUAGUAGGUGAGGUAACGGCUCACCUAGGCGACGAUACAUAGCCGACCUGAGAGGGUGAUCGGCCAACCUGGGACUGAGACACGGCCCAGACUCCUACGGGAGGCAGCAGUAGGGAAUCUUCGGCAAUGGACGAAAGUCUGACCGAGCAACGCCGCGUGAGUGAAGAAGGUUUUCGGAUCGUAAAGCUCUGUUGUAAGAGAAGAACGGGUGUGAGAGUGGAAAGUUCGCACUGUGACGGUAUCUUACCAGAAAGGGACGGCUAACUACGUG